AUUGACUCUCACAGAGACUCUCCUGCCUUCUGCGCCUCUCUAAAAACAACAUUCCCAACACUCCACUUAAAAACUCCCCACACACCCAGGGGAGGGGCCUGGUUGCCGUGGUAUUUAGCCCAGCCCAUCAGAGUAAUACUGUCAGACAGGACAGGAAGUGCAUGGACUCCACUGGACUGGUCUGGGGAUGAAGUAAGAAGAACUUCUGCAGACAAGGAAUGUCCGGAAUUCCUUAGUCCUAAGGGUCCUGUCCUCCACAUGACCUUUAGAGGUGCAAGGCAUCGUGUGUAGAACCCAUCGUCCUCCGUUAUAUCUGCACCGUCAUCCUCCGUCCCUCCAUCCCAUCAUCCAGCAGAAUGCAGUGUCUCUAUGGGGACGGAGA